CAUUAUGGCCUUUAAAGCAUGAUUAAAUGAUACAGCUUCAGAGCAUCUGUCUGAAGGAAAAAACCAAGAAGCUGGCUUCAUCAGUGAACAAUUUUCAGCAAAUGUACUGUACUCGUUGAGAGCCCAACAACCAUUCUGGGGAAACGCACCAGGAGUCGAAGCAUGAGUGCAAAGGGCUGCAACUCUUUAUGUUCAGCCUCCUGAUUAUUCAGAUUUUGUGCAUAUCUUAUGCAGAAAGUGGAAUGAUUGCAAAAUAAAGUAUUCAGCCAUGAC